AAAUUGUGACUAACGAAAUUCGUGGGCCAGAUUUUUGUAAUUGUGACCGGAAGAAUGGUGGCAACAUUAAAAUUUAAUUUGGGGAUUGAAUUGCCACUGUAUUAGUCACCAUAAAAUUUGAGCGGGAUUAUUUUUAUUUUUAGAGCGCCAUAUAUUAUCCACAAUUAACUCACAUAACCAGCCUCUCCACUAAUUAGGGUUUUGAUUGAAUAUUAAAACAAGAAACAUAAUACUACGUACCCUUAUACAUCAUUCUAUCAACCUCUGAAUCGAAGAACUGGAGCUUCUGCAGAAGUUGCUGCUGCUGGAUUGAGGUUCUGUUUGUGCUUCUGUUUGACAGGUUAUGCAUCUUAAACUGGUUGCGAUUGUAAAAGAAUGGCACCUGUUAAUCAUCCAGAGGUAGAAAGAAAUAUUCCAAAAAGUUCUCUGCUUUGCAUCAUCAUCACCAAAAUCUUUGUGAUUUAAUCUUUGGGGUUCUUGUUCUUCAUCAUUAUCAUCGUAUUAUUAUUAUUAUUAUUGUUAAAUGUUAAUAUCGAUCUGGGUCA